AUUGGGAUAAAUGUCCCUCUUUUCCUGAAAACGGGGAGGCCCGCAUCUCUCUCUAAACAAUGUGAUUUCUUUCUCCCUCUCUAAACCUCGCUUGUCAAAGUCUCUUCCUCUCUCAUUUUCUUCUCUCCAGAUUUUCUCUAACAGGUAGCAGCAGAGAGCAGUCGAUAUUUUUCAUUCUACAAAUCUCUCUCUUUCUCUCUUACUUAUAACAAUCUGCUUUGAAUUUGAAAUUACUGCACUCCAUUUUUGCUCUCUUACUUAUAACAAUCUGCUUUUAAUUUGAAAUUAAUGCACUCUAUUUUUGCUGUUUUAUUGGUGAAAGUUCAUACAUUUUAUUGCUGACGAUCUCUCUCUACCAGUCUCUCUUUACAAUCUUCUGUCAAUUUGCAAGUAUCCGUCUCUGUCUUGGCUUUUGACUGUGUUUUAUUGGUGACAGUUUCUGUGGCUUUCUGCGAUUUCGCCAAGGUAAUCUCUCUCUCUAUUCCUUUCUAUGAUCUUGGAAUUUGCGUCUCUCUAUUAUAUAUGUUUGAUAUGUUUUUCUUAGUCUUACGUUUUCUCCUCUUUCUCC
rnacentral:lncRNA from 1 species